GACGAACGCUGGCGGCGUGCUUAACACAUGCAAGUCGAACGAAGAGCGAUGGACGCUUGCUUCUAUCAAUCUUAGUGGCGCACGGGUGAGUAACGCGUAAUCAACCUGCCCUUCAGAGGGGGACAACAGUUGGAAACGACUGCUAAUACCGCAUACGAUCUAAUCUCGGCAUCGAGGAUAGAUGAAAGGUGGCCUCUAUGUAUAAGCUAUCACUGAAGGAGGGGAUUGCGUCUGAUUAGCUAGUUGGAGGGGUAACGGCCCACCAAGGCGAUGAUCAGUAGCCGGUCUGAGAGGAUGAACGGCCACAUUGGGACUGAGACACGGCCCAGACUCCUACGGGAGGCAGCAGUGGGGAAUCUUCCGCAAUGGACGAAAGUCUGACGGAGCAACGCCGCGUGAGUGAUGACGGCCUUCGGGUUGUAAAGCUCUGUUAAUCGGGACGAAAGGCCUUCUUGCGAAUAGGGAGAAGGAUUGACGGUACCGGAAUAGAAAGCCACGGCUAACUACGUG
rnacentral:rRNA from 1 species